GAUGAACGCUGGCGGCGUGCCUAAUACAUGCAAGUCGAGCGAACAGACGAGGAGCUUGCUCCUCUGACGUUAGCCGCGGACGGGUGAGUAACACGUGGAUAACCUACCUAUAAGACUGGGAUAACUUCGGGAAACCGGAGCUAAUACCGGAUAAUAUAUUGAACCGCAUGGUUCAAUAGUGAAAGACGGUUUUGCUGUCACUUAUAGAUGGAUCCUCGCCGCAUUAGCUAGUUGGUAAAGUAAAGGCUUACCAAGGCAACGAUGCUGAGCCGACCUGAGAGGGUGAUCGGCCACACUGGAGCGGAGACACGGUCCAGACUCCUACGAGAGGCAGCAGUAGGGAAUCUUCCGCAAUGGGCGAAAGCCUGACGGAGCAACGCCGCGUGAGUGAUGAAGGUCUUCGGAUCGUAAAACUCUGUUAUUAGGGAAGAACAAAUGUGUAAGUAACUAUGCACGUCUUGACGGUACCUAAUCAGAAAGCCACGGCUAACUACGUG
rnacentral:rRNA from 1 species